rnacentral:lncRNA from 1 species
UUGGAUUGAUGUUGUUAUUGCAUAAAUUGUGUUUCCUUAGAUGCUUAGUUGUGUAUAUGACCUGUAAACAUUCCCGGAAAACGUUUUGGGUGAUCAGGGGAUUAAAAUUGGGUUUUUGGAGUGAUGAGAAGUCUGAAAAUCGUAACUUUUACCCUGCCCAGAUGAGUAGUCGCUUAAGCGAACUACCCGUCGCUUAAGCGAGCGAUCAAGAUCGCUGCCCAGAAAUUGUCCUUAGCCGUUCGCUUAAGCGAACCGUGAGUGACCCGUAAGCGAAGAACUUGUUUAGAUACGACAUUGUGUCCGCUUGAGCGAACCCGUGAGCGAGCUGUGAGCGAGCGAAGCCUCAAACUUCCUGUAGCUGGUCGCUUAAGCGAGUUGCCCUUCGCUUAAGCGAACUGAGCUUUAGCCAGCCUUUUCUGAACCUUGUUCGUGAGCUAGGGGACCCCUUUUAGUA